rnacentral:rRNA from 1 species
AGAGCUUGAUCAUGGCUCAGGAUGAACGCUAGCUACAGGCUUAACACAUGCAAGUCGAGGGGAAACGAUAUUGGAAGCUUGCUUCCGAUAGGCGUCGACCGGCGCACGGGUGAGUAACGCGUAUCCAACCUGCCCACCACUUGGGGAUAACCUUGCGAAAGUAAGACUAAUACCCAAUGACGUCCCUAGAAGACAUCUGAAGGAGAUUAAAGAUUUAUCGGUGAUGGAUGGGGAUGCGUCUGAUUAGCUUGUUGGCGGGGUAACGGCCCACCAAGGCAACGAUCAGUAGGGGUUCUGAGAGGAAGGUCCCCCACAUUGGAACUGAGACACGGUCCAAACUCCUACGGGAGGCAGCAGUGAGGAAUAUUGGUCAAUGGGCGAGAGCCUGAACCAGCCAAGUAGCGUGCAGGAAGACGGCCCUAUGGGUUGUAAACUGCUUUUAUAAGGGAAUAAAGUUAGUCUCGUGAGACUUUUUGCAUGUACCUUAUGAAUAAGGACCGGCUAAUUCCGUGCCAGCAGCCGCGGUAAUACGGAAGGUCCGGGCGUUAUCCGGAUUUAUUGGGUUUAAAGGGAGCGUAGGCCGGAGACUAAGCGUGUUGUGAAAUGUAGACGCUCAACGUCUGCACUGCAGCGCGAACUGGUUUCCUUGAGUACGCACAAAGUGGGCGGAAUUCGUGGUGUAGCGGUGCAAUGCUUAGAUAUCACGAAGAACUCCGAUUGCGAAGGCAGCUCACUGGAGCGCAACUGACGCUGAAGCUCGAAAGUGCGGGUAUCGAACAGGAUCAGAUACCCUGGUAGUCCACGCGGUAAACGAUGAAUGCUAGGUGUAGGAGGUAUCGACCCCUUCUGUGCCGCAGUAAACACAAUAAGCAUUCCGCCUGGGGAGUACGGCCGCAAGGUUGAAACUCAAAGGAAUUGACGGGGGCCCGCACAAGCAGCGGAGCAUGUGGUUUAAUUCGAAGCAACGCGAAGAACCUUACCAGGUCUUGACAUCCGUGUAAAGCCGCAGAGAUGCGGUGUGAGCUUGCUCAAUACGAGACAGGUGGUGCAUGGUUGUCGUCAGCUCGUGUCGUGAGAUGUUGGGUUAAGUCCCGCAACGAGCGCAACCCUUAUCGUCCAUUACUAACGCGUAAAGGCGAGGACUCAGACGAGACCGCCGGGGACAACUCGGAGGAAGGUGGGGACGACGUCAAAUCAUCAUGCCCCUUACGACCUGGGCUACACACGUGCUACAAUGGGUACAACAAAGAGAAGCGAGACCGCAAGGUGGAGCAAAACUCAGAAAAGUACUCUCAGUUCAGAUUGUGGGCUGCAACCCGCCCACAUGAAGUUGGAGUUGCUAGUAAUCGCGGAUCAGCAUGCCGCGGUGAAUACGUUCCCGGGCCUUGUACACACCGCCCGUCACACCAUGGGAGUUGGGAGCGCCCGAAGCCAGUGAGGUAACCGAAAGGAGCCAGCUGUCGAAGGUGAGACCAAUGACUGGGGUGAAGUCGUAACAAGGUA